rnacentral:tRNA from 1 species
GGAGAGGUGCCCGAGUGGUCAAAGGGAGCAGACUGUAAAUCUGCCGGCGCAGCCUUCGAAGGUUCGAAUCCUUCCCUCUCCACCA